rnacentral:misc_RNA from 1 species
GUGAUAUGCAAAGCAGACUAUAUAAAGCAGGUUCAAGGCUUAAAGCAUUUAUAAAACAACAUGAAUAGAAUAAAAUACUGCUUGUAAUUAAGGAACUUUAUUUAUUAAUUGAAUUUAUAACAUUUCACAGCACUAGUUAAUAUCCUUAGCAGAGGAAAGAUUUGAUAUUUGAUACGAAAUGCACAAAACCUAAGAUCUAGACACACAGAUUAAAAGAACCAAACUUUCAUUCAGCAAUCACCACCACGAAGACGGAGCACAAGGUGGA